rnacentral:rRNA from 1 species
GACAGAGGCCCCAAGCGUUAGGCGGAAUCACUGGGCUUAAAGCGUGUGUAGGCGGACGCCUAAGUGUCUUGUGAAAUCCCACGGCUCACCCGUGGAACUGCUGGGCAUACUGGGCGUCUUGGGCCAACUAGGGGCAGCCGGAACAAGCGGUGGAGCGGUGAAAUGCGUAGAUAUCGCUUGGAACGCCGAAGGUGAAAACAGGUUGCUGGGAAUGUGCCGACGCUGAGACACGAAAGCCAGGGGAGCAAACGGG